AUGACGCCGUGGGGUGCGGACGCCGGCGGCCGUUGCAGACGACAGCGGGCUCCUGGGCGCCAGAUCCGAGGUGGCGGGGUCGCGGGCGCCACAUCCGGAGCGGGCCGCGGCCGGCAAGCAAGCGGCUCGAGUGGUGCUGCUCAGGGCAAGGCACGCAUCACCAAAGCCCUGGACGAGAGGAGGAGGUUGACGUUCGGGGAAGAGCGGCUCGUCAGGCGCCGGCUACCGACGGGGAUGGCCGUGGUGGCCGACCAUGCGGUGGAGGCAGCAUGGGUCCAGCCUGAGUGUGGCCACCGGCGGCGUCUUCUGUGUGGCUGA
rnacentral:rRNA from 1 species